GCGUCAGUGAUUCAUUGGUAUAGAAUACUCGCCAAUCAAGUGGGAAGUGUGGGUUCGAUUCCCAAAUGAUGCA
rnacentral:tRNA from 1 species